rnacentral:rRNA from 1 species
CACUUGCUGGUAGGAUCGUGGUUGCAUUAGCUCACCGGAAUGAAUGAAUGAAUGUGUUGAUUGCAGCGGUGGCUCAAAUUCAAUCGCAUUUAUCAGGCUGGUUUCAAUUGCUGCUAACGAUGGUGCAUUUUUACAUACAAUUCUCCUCAGUGCAGGUUAUCACUCUAGAUCGGCGGGGUGCAAUGAAUGGUUAAACGAGUGAUCGAUCGGGAAUAGCGGAAUGUCGUGUGGUAGGGAUCAAAUACUCCGAUGUGGAACGCCAAGCGAAGGCAGCUAUCCAGGUCCCUACUGACGCUGGGGUGCCAAAAGCAUGGGGAGCAAACAGGAUCAGAUACCCUGGUAGUCCAUGCCGUAAACGAUGAGUGUUCCGCUGUAAUCGAAUAUGGGGCGGCAGCUAACGUUUUAACACUCCGCCUGGGUAUUACGGUAGCAAUACGGAAACUCAAAGGAAUUGACGGGGGCCUGCACAAGCGGUGGAGCAUGUGGUUUAAUUCGAUACAACGCGCAGAACCUUACCAGCCCUGGAACAUCGGUGGGUGCCUUCUUGCUAUUUCUUCGUUGCGCAUAUUCCAGAUUCCGGUGCUGCAUGGCUGUCGUAAGCUCGUGUCGUGAGAUGUUUGGUUCAGUCCCUUGGUCAACUAGCGAAACCCUCGUAAUGAAUGGCAUGCCUCCAAUAAUCCUUCCGUUUCAUCCGGUGCAAGUGGGAUUGGUGGAUGGAAUCAGCGCCCAUUAUUCGAAUUCGAUAGGGGCAAUUAGUCGAGAGUAAAAGUAAAACGACGUGCAUUUCUCCGGAUGAUUACGACGCGUUCCUACUUCGAUUAUUGUAUUGAUUAUUUCCGAGCAAGAAUAAUCGGACCAUUUCAUCCAGUGUUGCACCUAUGAUUGCACGCCAUGAACAGAACCUAAGAACCCAAUCCAUCUACUGCCAGCGAAAUGCCGGAGGGAAGGUGGGGAUGACGUCAAGUCCGCAUGGCCCUAAUGGGCUGGGCCACAACACGUGCUACAAUGGCAAUGCCUAUGGUCCCCCUAACAAUCGUUCGAGCAAGGCCUUAAGGCGGAGCGGAUGGAAAGAUUGGCCAUAAUGGUUCGGAUGGGUCUCUGCUACUAGAUCCGGAAGUAGGAAUCGCAAGUAAUCGCGGAGCAGCAUGCCGCGGUGAAUAUAGUACCCCGGUCCUGUACACACCGCCCGUCACACCCUGGUAUUUUGUCUCGCCUUUAUACAUACCACGG